rnacentral:rRNA from 1 species
AGAAUCAACGCUGGCGGCGUGCCUAACACAUGCAAGUCGAGCGCGAAAGGGGAGCAAUCCCCGAGUAGAGCGGCGAACGGGUGAGUAACGCGUGGGUAAUCUACCUCCGAGUGGGGAAUAACAGCGGGAAACUGCUGCUAAUACCGCAUGACAUCGUCGAGCCUUCGGGCCUGACGAUCAAAGCCGGGGACCGCAAGGCCUGGCGCUUGGAGACGAGCCCGCGUCCGAUUAGCUAGUUGGCGGGUAAUGGCCCACAGGCUCCGAUCGGUA